rnacentral:rRNA from 1 species
UGGGGAAUAUUGGACAAUGGGCGGAAGCCUGAUCCAGCAACGCCGCGUGAGGGAUGACGGCCUUCGGGUUGUAAACCUCUUUCAGUACCGACGAAGCGAAAGUGACGGUAGGUACAGAAGAAGGACCGGCCAACUACGUGCCAGCAGCCGCGGUAAUACGUAGGGUCCGAGCGUUGUCCGGAAUUAUUGGGCGUAAAGGGCUCGUAGGCGGUUUGUCGCGUCGGGAGUGAAAACAGCGGGCUUAACUCGUUGCUUGCUUUCGAUACGGGCAGACUAGAGGUAUGCAGGGGAGAAUGGAAUUCCUGGUGUAGCGGUGAAAUGCGCAGAUAUCAGGAGGAACACCGGUGGCGAAGGCGGUUCUCUGGGCAUUACCUGACGCUGAGGAGCGAAAAGUGUGGGGAGCGAACAGGAUUAGAUCCCUGGUAGUCCACACCGU